rnacentral:misc_RNA from 1 species
CACCUUUGGUGUGUGUGCAAUCGAUCUGGAUCAUAGAGAAUUUAAGAUUCAUAGAUGGAUUGGAACUGUCGACGACAAAGUCCCCAACAUGGUAGAGAUUCCAUUUCCCAGGAUCACGUAAAAAACACUGGGAAGAGGCAUACUGACCAUCAGAAGUCCAUAGCUGAAAUCUCACAGGUUUUAUGUCCCAACCAUGGACGUGCUCCGUGUUGCAGAUUCGGCGACCAAAUCUCUUGGCAGCCCUGCCUAAUUGCAGCCUGAAGAAUAUGCUAUAGGUCCCUGCUGGAAGUGGGAACUCAAACUGCCCAUCAACCUCAAACCACCAUAUUUGCUGAAGAUAUGCAACAGUGUCGAAUCUAGAUUCUUCGGUUGGAAUAUUAUUCCAAUAUCUUCUAUCAUCGAUCCCAGUUAUUGCUAACCCCUUGGAAGAAAUGGAUAAGCAAACACCACCAGUAGUCUUAUCUAGCCAUGCUUUCUUGGUACCACCGUCAAAAGUGUUAGCUCUACACAACCUGGCGUAAAUCUCUCUCCUACUAAUCUUUCUAGGCAGAUCAUCACCAAAAACUCUCUGAAUAAGACGAACAUAAUUCAUAGGUAAUUUAGAUUCCCAUAAAAAAAAAAUCAGCCCAAGAAGCUCCACGAAAUGCUCUGUUCAACCUUGCUAAUUUGCAUAUCUCUGGUGGGUCUAAAUAAGCAAGAAUCAGAGCAACACAACCUUCUGGUAAGUCCCCAAGAGUUGGUUUUGGCGUUGGUGAUUGAGACGAUAAAGAACCAUAAAGAGAUAAAGCGUUCGGGUCUGUGAAUACUGAAGAAAGAUUAGCCCCCAUGAACACAAGCAGAAUAAGAAACAAAGAGGCUAACUAGAAAGUUCUACAAGAUUUAA